rnacentral:tRNA from 8 species
AGGCAUGUCGCUCAGUUGGUUAGAGCACCACCUUGACAUGGUGGGGGUCGUUGGUUCGAGUCCAAUCGCGCCUACCA